GUUGCUAUUUCUUUUAACACUGUAUUCCUGUCACAAAAAAGUCUGUCUUUCAAUAUCAAAGCAGUAAAUUUUACUGAUUUUCCUAUACUUUUAAAGAUGUUAGCUACUGGAAUAUAUUUAAAUAUCUUAUAACUAUUGCUGCUAAAUCAUUUUAUGUGAUAUUUAAUGUUGAAAGUUUUUUUUGAGUGAUUGUGGAAAAUAUAAAUUUGUAUAUUCCUUAAGACAGGGCGUGUUUGAUUUCUGCACUGUUGUAUAAACUGUAAGGCCAAAAACAGGCCCUUUGAAUAUGCGAAGUUCCCCUUAAACCACCUUGAACUAGGCAGAUUUGCAACAUUUUAAACUGGCACUUCAUCCCUCUUUCAGCAAGCAUCCUCUGCAGAUUUAAUGAUCAGGAACAUCCUUCUGAUGCAUGCUGGGAGAUAUGGCUGCAGGGUACAGACCACAGCAGACAGUGUGUCAGAUGAGGCAGAACUUCUUGUUAGGGGUGAGUAUGCUAAUAGCCAGACUGCAGACACGAUCACCAUAAAUUAUUCUACGAAGGGGCUGAAAUGCAUGGACGGAUGGGGCACGUCAGCACUGCGCUGCUCACUUUGAUAAUCUCUGUCGUUUUUUGACUAACCUUUUCUUGCCUUUGAGAUGAUGAUAUAGCAAACCUCUUUAGAAGCAGGCUAAAGCUAUCUGGAAACACUUGUGAUAAUGAGUGGCUGCUAAAUAGGAAACCAAGUUUAUCCCAAACUCAGAAGCAUAUCUGCUGAGACAUUUAGGUGGUUCGGUGACAGAGACAAGGUUGCUCUGUGUGUGUGUGUGUGUGUGUGUGUGUGUGUGUGUGUGUGUGUGUUUGAAAGAUUUGUAUGUAUAUAUGUGUAUAUAGCUUUGUGCAUAUUUAUACAUAUAUGUAUAUAUGCGUAUACAUACACAUAUUGAUAUAGCUUUCUAAUGCAAAGCCAGCAGAAGCUUCAGGCAUUAUGAUUUUUCCCCAACAACUUUGAAAUCCAGCUUCCAAACGCCCAGAAAGCUACAUUCAUAAGAGGGUACACAAUUGUUAAAGGACAGAGAUUCCUCUGCCCCUUGCAGCCUGAAAAUGGCAGCAUACAGACUAUGCAAAAAUAACAACUAAGGGUUUUCUAAUAAGGAGUCACCCCCCCCCCCAAAGAUUCUGCAAACCUGUGAAGCUAUGUUUCAUUUCAAUUAAGCAAAUAUCUGCAGCAUGCAUUGACUUUACGGUAGUGCUCCUCAAGGCAAGAGACGUGCAUUCUACCAUGUAUUUUCUUCUUUCUUUUCUCUUCCUUCUUUCCCUACUUUUCAUUCCCUCCAAAUUUUCAUUCUUUCUUUUCCCCUAACUUUGUAUUAAGUGCAGUAUACCCUCAGACAGUUUCCAAGUUUCAUAAAUUGUACAAAGCCUCAAGUCAUGUUACUAACCCAAGAAAGACUAAUUGUCAGGACUCUACUGAUACCCUUCCUUCUUGCCCAAUCUUACAGAGAGAUGUGUGUUGCAUGCUUCAAAUUCUUACACAGUAUGCACAAAUAAACACUUUUAUAGUCCAUAGCAAGAGCUCAUAUUUUUAAAUAACUGAUUUUAACCAUUUGAAGUGUUUUUCAUUCUCAUUUUAAGAUGCAAAUUUUCUAAGAUUUCACACAGUAAAUAAAUACAGAGGUGAGUGGUGAGUGACAUCGUCUUAGUUCUUUCUUUCAGUUAUGCUGUCCAUGUAUGGUGGUGAACCCACCAUCAUUUUCAGGAAGAUGUUCGGACAGAACUGUGUAUGUGUGAAGCGUAGUCAUGCCAUGUGUGCUACUUUGUACUUACAAGACUACUUCUUCUGUUCUCCAGUUUUUGUGUCAGAAAUAUAUGCUAUACCACCUAUUGUAAAAUGAAACUUUUUAAAGUGUUCUUUUUUAAAUACACCUUACUCCCUAUAUCUAAAAAUUUCUUUGUGCCUUCUGAAGAUGCAAGUUACCUGAAAUUGCACAACGUACCUUGCAGUCAAAUUGGUAGAAAAUUGCUUUCUUCUCUUGCUGUUGUCUUCCUUUUAUGUAUGUGUAUUUACUGUGUGACUUGACUGAUAAUUUAAAAUGAUCCUCCUAAAAUUAGAGCUUUCCAAAUGAAUUCAACAAUUUAGACGAUGAUAAAAGAAACCAGGUUUAUUUUUCCAGGACUCUAAGGGGCAAAUUUAAGUGGCAAACUACAUAUCCUGCUUUGUAAGUAAAAUUAAGCUCAACAGGGUCCAGAACGUAAUUCAAGGCCAAUAUUUUCAUGUUCUGCUCUUUUAGCCUUUGGCUUUAUGCCUAGGAGAUGAUUAAAUGCAUUAAUUUUGGAAUUGCACCCAAUAGCAAUUCUGAAUAUUUAUGUUUCCAUGAGCUCAAGCUUUCCCUUGAAGUGAGUUCAAUCCAGUCACUAACUUCUGAUUAUGUGCUCGCAUUAGAUUUCUAAAACUAGGGGAAAUAAUUUGCCUCUCCCUCCCAGCUAGUCUUAGAUUUUAAUACUAAACCAAGGGUUAUGCUUUAUCUUUCAUGAUUAUUUUUAUAGUGAAAAAUUUCAAGUUCUUGUCAUCUAGGAAAAUUUGCAUGCUGGAAUGUUAUUAGUUUUAGUGUUGACUUAGGAGAGUAACUUUACUCUCCAUGUUUCCUGUCCCAAUCUCUCCAUUCUCUCUAAAGGAGGAACAGUCUUCCAUUCCAAGCAGUAAGAGCAAAGCUGAGGACUCUACAGUGAGUUUUCUAAGGGCUGUUAAAACACAAUGGCAAAGUUAUUGUUUUAUAAAUUAACAAAAUGUAUAUGAUUGUAGUAAAGACCACCCACCAGCCAGAACACCAUCCACCAGACAGUUCAUGUUUUCUGUGUUGAUCACACUUGAAGCACACAUAAGCAGGAAGUAGUUGUUCCUAAAAUCAUUCUCUGUGGUUGACUUAGGCCAAGAGUCUCUAUUCUCUCAGCUUGAUGACCACUUCUCUUUGUUGCCUUGAAGGUCUAUAACUUCCCUUUGUGUAUCCUAAUGAAUGCUGUGACAGGACACUGAGUUGGAUUCAGGUGGGUGGCAGCAUCACCCCCACUGCACCUUGUUUAGAAUCAGAAUGCUCCAGAUCCCAGUUUUCUGCCUCCCUUCACUUUGUGUCUUCACUUUAGGGCUAUCUUUUCCCCAGAAAACUUAUUUUUGGUUAUAAUUUUGGUUGAGACUCUUAAUGGUAUUUCUCACUUCCUUUACAACAUUAUCAUUAUCUAAAUUUUUAAUAGUUUAUAAGUAAUUAUAUCGAUUAUCAAAUCAAUCAUCUAUUCUCACAAAUUUAAAUUUCAUCGAACCAGCGUUACCAUAGUACCAUAUUAUGAUCUUCAGAGCAACAACAACAACAAAAAUAAGCCAAUCAUGAGUGUCCUAAAAGAAAUUAUUGUGUUGGAAUACAAAUAUAAUCAGAAACUGAAUAUAUGUCCAGACACCAUUUUCUUUAUUUUUUGAGAAGUGUUCUAUAAAAGCAAUACACAAAGCAAGGCCAUGCCAUGGUUUUUGAACACAUGAAAGAUAUGUAAAAAGAUUAUAUUUCUAAGAAAAGUAUGAUAUACCUUUGGGCUAGAACCUCAUGGAAGAAGACAAACAUUUUGUAGGCCCUGAUUCUUUAAAGGAAUAUGAGAACCAGUCGAUUGCAACAGGGGCAACUCCAUAAAUUAUUGGACUUCUUAUAAAUCAAUGCUAUAUAUCUACUUCUCACAGUAAAUAGCACAGCAGUAAAGUUUCAUGGUUUAAAUAAGACAAGCUUAGCUUUACUAGUACGACUGGGAACCUAAGUCUGUGUUCCUAUUAUUUUAUUCAGAGGCAGAAGAAGUAAUUAAGAAAAUCACUUUUCAUCCAACUUCUGAAUUUCUUUUCAACAUUUUUUUUUUAAUGAAAAUGGUAAAUCAAGAAAAACCAAGUCAAGCCUGACAGUGUGUCUGUAACUCAGUCCUUUUAAAGUAGAGCCAGGGGAAAGGAGCUCAAGGUCGGUCUCCACCAGAAAGGAAGCUCAAGUCCAGCCUUAGCUAUAUAAAACCUGUUGAAAAUUUUUAAAGAAAAGAGAAUAAAAUU
rnacentral:lncRNA from 1 species